UACGUAGGGUGCAAGCGUUAAUCGGAAUUACUGGGCGUAAAGCGUGCGCAGGCGGUGAUGUAAGCCAGUUGUGAAAUCCCCGGGCUCAACCUGGGAACUGCAUCUGUGACUGCAUCGCUGGAGUACGGUAGAGGGGGAUGGAAUUCCGCGUGUAGCAGUGAAAUGCGUAGAUAUGCGGAGGAACACCGAUGGCGAAGGCAAUCCCCUGGACCUGCACUGACGCUCAUGCACGAAAGCGUGGGGAGCAAACAGG
rnacentral:rRNA from 1 species